rnacentral:siRNA from 1 species
ACGCGUGCGGUGAUCUAUUAGCUC